AUUGAACGCUGGCGGCAGGCCUAACACAUGCAAGUCGAACGGUAACAGGAAACAGCUUGCUGUUUCGCUGACGAGUGGCGGACGGGUGAGAAAUGUCUGGGAAACUGCCUGAUGGAGGGGGAUAACUACUGGAAACGGUAGCUAAUACCGCAUAACGUCGCAAGACCAAAGAGGGGGACCUUCGGGCCUCUUGCCAUCGGAUGUGCCCAGAUGGGAUUAGCUAGUAGGUGGGGUAACGGCUCACCGAGGCGACGAUCCCUAGCUGGUCUGAGAGGAUGACCAGCCACACUGGAACUGAGACACGGUCCAGACUCCUACGGGAGGCAGCAGUGGGGAAUAUUGCACAAUGGGCGCAAGCCUGAUGCAGCCAUGCCGCGUGUAUGAAGAAGGCCUUCGGGUUGUAAAGUACUUUCAGCGGGGAGGAAGGGAGUAAAGUUAAUACCUUUGCUCAUUGACGUUACCCGCAGAAGAAGCACCGGCUAACUCCGUG
rnacentral:rRNA from 1 species